rnacentral:lncRNA from 1 species
ACAAACAAACCCACAAAGUUAAAUGGGAUCAUAUAAACAUUUAACAAGCAUGUCUGAUCCAGGUUGUUCAGCAGUUGUUUGAGUUUCUUUAUCCUGAAAUACUAAAAUUUGAAUCUUUAGGGAAUAAGAAGAAAAUAGAGAGCAUUGAGAAGCAGCAUCCAACUCAGCGCAUAUGCUUGGUUUACCGUACACAUUUGUCACUAGUGUCCAGGACCCAAAGCUCACAGGAUGGAAUGUGUUCAUGAGCAUACAUGGGUGUGCAUGCAUAUAGACAUAGCAUGCAAGGAACAGCCAUCACAGAAGUAGCUACCUGAACAAAGUUCUGAGUCUCUCAAGUGCUCAACAACCAGACGACAGGCCCCUUGGGCAGCUGCCACCAUGAUGACCCACAGU